rnacentral:rRNA from 1 species
UACGUAGGCGGGAAAUUAAGUCAGUAGUGAAAUCCCACAGCUUAACUGUGGAACUGUUAUUGAUACUGGUUUUCUUGAAUAUAGUUGAGGUAGGCGGAAUGUGUAAUGUAGCGGUGAAAUGCUUAGAUAUUACACAGAACACCGAUUGCGAAGGCAGCUUACUAAGCUAUGAUUGACGCUGAGGUACGAAAGCGUGGGGAGCGAACAGGAUUAGAUACUCUGGUAGUCC